rfam:TPA: Bos taurus chromosome 9, whole genome shotgun sequence.
CCUGAUAGCUCAGUUGGUAAAGAAUCUGCCUGCAAUGCAGGAGACCCUGGUUUGAUUCCUGGGUCAGGA